rnacentral:tRNA from 1 species
AGGGGUAUGGCUCAGUGGUAGCGCAUGUGUAUGACAGAGCUUGGUGUGCAUGAGGUCCUAGGUUCAAACCCCAGUACCCCUU